CCGAGUUCAUGCCCUUCGGGGUAGAUCUCCCACCCUUUGUAUACUAUACCUUUGUUGCUUUGGCGGGCCGCCUAGCUACUGGCUUCGGCUGGUAAGUGCCCGCCAGAGGACCUCAAAACCUGAAUGUUAGUGUCGUCUGAGUACUAUAUAAUAGUUA
rnacentral:misc_RNA from 1 species